UACCUGAUUGAUUCUGUCAGCGCGAUAUGCUCAAGUAAAAGAUUAAGCCAUGCAUGCUUUGAUUCAUAAAUGAAAUUGCGUACGGCUCAUUAGAGCAGAUAUCACCUUUCUCGGAAUCCUGAAAAGGAUAACUGCGGAAAUUCUGGAGCUAAUACAUGCGACUAUACUCCAACGCAAGGCGGGGUGCAAUUAUUAGAACAGACCAAACGUUUUCGGACGUUGUUUGUUGACUCUGAAUACCGUCGUUUACUGUCAGUUUCGACUGACUCUAUCCGAGAAGGGUGUCUGCCCUUUCAACUAGAUGGUAAUCUAUUGGACUACCAUGGUUGUUACGGGUAACGGAGAAUUAGGGUUCGACUCCGGAGAGGGAGCCUUAGAAACGGCUACCACGUCCAAGGAAGGCAGCAGGCGCGAAACUUAUCCACUGUUGAGUAUGAGAUAGUGACUAAAAAUAUAAAGACUCAUCCUUUUGGAUGAGUUAUUUCAAUGAGUUGAAUAUAAAUUAUUCUUCGAGUAGCAAGGAGAGGGCAAGUCUGGUGCCAGCAGCCGCGGUAAUUCCAGCUCUCCUAGUGUAUCUCGUUAUUGCUGCGGUUAAAAAGCUCGUAGUUGGAUCUAGGUUACGUGCCGCAGUUCGCAAUUUGCGUUAACUGUGGUCGUGACUUCUAAUUUGCUGGUUUGAGGUUGGGUUCGCCCUUCAACUGUCCAGCAGGUUUACCUUGAAUAAAUCAGAGUGUCUCAAUACAGGCGCUUGCUUGAAUAGCUCAUCAUGGAAUAAUGAAACAGGACUUCGGUUCUUUUUGUGGUUCUAGAAUUGAUCUAAUUGGUAAGAGGGACAAACCGGGGGCAUUCCGUAUCAUUACGCGAGAUGUGAAUUUCGUGGACCGUAUUGAGACGCCCAAUAGCGAAAG
rnacentral:ncRNA from 1 species